rnacentral:lncRNA from 1 species
AGGCCCAGUGCAAAGCAUAUGGAUUGAAAGUUGGGAAGAGUUACAGUUACUUGAAUAAAGAGAAGUUGGAUGCUUAGAACUGAAAAUAUCCACAAUGCUAAGAUCAUUUUUAUAUUUAUUCGAGCUAAUUCAACAUUUUAAAAACGGGAAUAGGAACUUUAUCUAUAUAAUACCAGCUUCAACCCAAGAGGAGUAUGGAAAGACCUCUGAUAUUCCCCCCAGGACACUUGCUGGCUUUGUGAUCUUGGGUAGAUCACGAUCUCUGAUUCUUGUUCUUCCCAGCUGCAAAAUGGGGAUAAUAUUGUCUCCCUAUCCAUAUCACAGAUGGUUAUGAAGAUUCAAAAAGAGAAGGGGUUUCACCGUGGUCUCAAUCUCCUGACCUCGUGAUCUGCCCGCCUGGCCUCCCAAAGUGCUGGGAUUACAAGCGUGACCCACCGCGCCCCGCCUGGAAAACUUUCAGUGAUCACCCAAGACCAUACUAUCUGAAUACAGUGCAUUAAAGGAGGUGCAGAGACUGAAGAUCUGCAUUAAGCAGCAAGUACUUCAGCCCAGGUCCAUGUUCU